rnacentral:rRNA from 1 species
GACGAACGCUGGCGGCGUGCUUAACACAUGCAAGUCGAACGGAAAGGCCCUGCUUUUGUGGGGUGCUCGAGUGGCGAACGGGUGAGUAACACGUGAGUAACCUGCCCUUGACUUUGGGAUAACUUCAGGAAACUGGGGCUAAUACCGGAUAGGAGCUCCUGCUGCAUGGUGGGGGUUGGAAAGUUUCGGCGGUUGGGGAUGGACUCGCGGCUUAUCAGCUUGUUGGUGGGGUAGUGGCUUACCAAGGCUUUGACGGGUAGCCGGCCUGAGAGGGUUGCCGGCCACAUUGGGACUGAGAUACGGCCCAGAAUCCUACGGGAGGCAGCAGUGGGGAAUAUUGCACAAUGGGCGGAAGCCUGAUGCAGCAACGCCGCGUGCGGGAUGACGGCCUUCGGGUUGUAAACCGCUUUCGCCUGUGACGAAGCGUGAGUGACGGUAAUGGGUAAAGAAGCACCGGCUAACUACGUG